rnacentral:rRNA from 1 species
GACGUAGGGCGCGAGCGUUGUCCGGAUUUAUUGGGCGUAAAGAGCUCGUAUGCGGCUUGUUGCGUCGUCCGUGAAAACCUGUGGCUUAACUACAGGCUUGCGGUCGAUACGGGCGGGCUGGAGUUCGGUAGGGGAGACUGGAAUUCCUGGUGUAGCGGUGAAAUGCGCAGAUAUCAGGAGGAACACCGGUGGCGAAGGCGGGUCUCUGGGCCGAUACUGACGCUGAGGAGCGAAAGCGUGGGGAGCGAACAGG